UGUGUUGCACAGCUUUUGCGAGUGCCGUUCUGUUUAGCUCUCAGAAAAUAGCAGCUAAUCUUGCAAAUUCUCGAAUAACGUGCUUCUCUUCCUCUCCCAUUCUCAUUUGCUGACAAAUAAAGUGCGCGAAAACAUUCGUAUAUAUACGCGAGCAACUUAUUCAGUUCUUUAUUUUUUCGGGCUUAGUGCGGUUUAUUCGUUGAAUUCUCCAUCGAAGUACAUAUAAAAAAGUAUGAUGAAACGUGAUUUAAGUGCAAAAACCAUAAAAUUAAAACUUAAACAAUGUUUGAUUAAGUGAAAGUGAAUGCAGAAUUCAAUGGUGCCAAUGAAUUUUGUGUAAAACGUUGAAAUAAAAACCUCAUAUUCAUACGAGUACAAAGAAUGUUGCACAGCUUUUGUGGAAGCCGACCGACCAUAUACGAGGGUUCUGUUUAGCCCUCAGUGGUUGUUAUCGAUAACAGAAAACUGCAGCUAAUCAUUUAAACUUACAAACGUACUUCUCUUCGUCUCCCAUUCAACUUGGUGUUAAAUAAAGUGCGAGUAACUUAUUUAGUUCGUAGUUUUCUCAGGCUAAAUGCGGUUCAUUCAUUGAUCUCUCCGUCGUCGUUAAAUGUAAAAACCAUUUAGAAAAAAACAUAAAUCAGUGUAAUGUGAAAUCAUGACUGAACGACUGCAGAUGAAUUUUGUGUACAAUGUUAAAUGAAAACCCACAUUUAUAUCAGAAACUUAGUGUGUUGCCAUCGUUCUGAUUAACCUUUAAUCUUAAUCGAUAACAGACAUUACCUAAUAAUUUGCAAUGAAAAUCGAAAAAAUUGUAGAAUUGAAAAAAAAACUUUAAAGUUAAUGCUUUAAUAUAUAUGUGUGAACUGCUGUAUACAAGAAAAAAAAAACACUUCAAUUAAAACUUGGUAUCUGCAUCUGCAUCACCACUUACUUCUUUGUCACCACAUAUCUUAAGUUAUGCCACCGGCACAAAUUGAGCGGAAAAAUACCAUAAUACCUUCGGUUGGGCGCUUGUAACAUAACGACUAUGCCAGGCUGCCUGCCUUCUCUCUGGCAGCCUCUCCAAUUUCACCAUGGCAUCCGGAAAUUUUGUGCACGUAAAUGGCCAAUACGCGGCGGCAUAAACGACAAUGAUUGCUGCAAAAGGAUACCAUGUUGCUGGGCAAGGACUCACUCGUUAGUUUGGCGUUAGGAGUAGAAUGGCGGGAAUAUUU